UACGAAGGGGCUAGCGUUGCUCGGAAUUACUGGGCGUAAAGCGCACGUAGGCGGCUUUCUAAGUCGGGGUGAAAUCCUGGAGCUCAACUCCAGAACUGCCUUCGAUACUGGAAAGCUCGAGUCCGGGAGAGGUGAGUGGAACUGCGAGUUGUAGAGGUGAAAUUCGUAGAUAUUCGCAAGAACACCAGUGGCGAAGGCGGCUCACUGGCCCGGUACUGACGCUGAGGUGCGAAAAGCGUGGGGAGCAACAGGGAUUAAGAUACCCGGUA
rnacentral:rRNA from 1 species